GCCAUGCGCAAAAAGGGCGGACUGAUUGAGUGAUAUCAUCAGCUUCAUUGCAAGGGUUACCCCGGAUAGCGUCCAAAAUCUGCCCAUCAGGCUCGUUAUCUGAUAGCACUGUAAUUGGUGGAUCUCCAGCAGCUAUUUCAGGCACCUGUUGGUUUGAGGAACUGUUUGAUCUUUAUUGUAUUUUACCAUCAUCAUCAUUUUUGAUUCAGCGGGGAGAAUGAUAUCCCUCAAGCAGGAAGCCUUCCUACACCGGGCAGCGGGCAGCAGCCUUUCUUAACGUCCUAAGCUAAAAAAAGCAUUGACGUCAGUAUGACAUAUGAG
rnacentral:sRNA from 1 species